UGGGGAAUUUUGGACAAUGGGCGCAAGCCUGAUCCAGCCAUGCCGCGUGAGUGAAAGAAGGCCUUCGGGUUGUAAAGCUCUUUCGGCCGGGAAGAAAUCGUGGUCUCUAACAUAGGCCAUGGAUGACGGUACCGGACUAAGAAGCACCGGCUAACUACGUGCC
rnacentral:rRNA from 1 species